rnacentral:tRNA from 1 species
UCCCUGGUGGCUCAGCCGGUAAAGCAUCUGCCUGAGAUGCAGGAGACCUGGGUUUGAUCCCUGGGUCGGGAA